rnacentral:lncRNA from 1 species
AUGAGGAGGAGGAGGAUGUGGUGGUGGUGGUGGUGGUGGCGGCGGUGGCAGUGGUUGUGGAGGUAGGGAAUGUGAUGAUGCAAGUUGUGGAGUUGGAUGUGCAAGUGGAAGUGGUGUCAUUUUUUAAAAUGAAUGAUGGUAUUUUGGGAAUAAAAAAAAUUUAUUAAAGAUUCAUCUCUGCUUCUUUUGAAAGCAGCUUUGAAAAGUACCCGAGAGCGUGCUUGUGAAAGCUUCUGUCAAAAAGUCACUGCUUUUAAAAAUAAUCAUGAUAUUUUAUUUUUACCGAAUACUUUAAAUUGCAUAACUUUAAAGUGAAGCAAGUUUUUGAUCAAAAAAAGCAAUCUCAAACGGGACCUAAAUAUAUAACUUUAAUUUUUCUAUACCGAAAAUACUAUUAUGGCACUAUCUCAAGUCAAUUCUCCAAAAAUUGCAUUUCGAUAACAUUUAAUCCCUUUUCAUACCAUUGUAUGACAACUAUUAAAUUGGUUACGUACCUAUCUACAAGUUGUGUUUGGCUACGUACUGCAUGAGAGAAACCAGUUUUUUUUUUUUUUUUUUUUUUGGGUCAACUGAGAGAAACCAGUUUGGUUUAUAUAUAGUGGCAUCUAAAAUUUGAUUGCCCACAAUUGAAGACGAUAAACGGCCAACCUUGUGAUCCCUCCCAUGAGUUCGCAUCUUUUCACUGUAUCCGACCAUUGACCUUUUUUUUUUUAAUGGAGUUCACAGUUUGCAACAUAGAAAAUGUAUAAAAAAUAUAUUCCACAUAAAAAAUAUUUGGAUCCAUAAUAAAUAAUGACCAAAUACAGAAAUAAAUAAUGUAUAAAAAAUUACAAGUAGACCGAAAAUAAGGAGAACAUAAAAUAUAAAAUAAAAAUAAGCUAUUGUAAUUAUUAUACGGAAGUUUUGGUUUAUUUGUAGCAUGCGUGGUAGGUACAAUUAUUUUUGUUUUUUUUAAUGAGUGUUGCUAUUUGGAUCCAUAAUAAAUAAUGACCAAAUAUAGAAAUAAAUAAUGUAUAAAAAAUUACAAGUAGACCAAAAAUAAGGAGAACAUAAAAUAUAAAAGAAACAUAAGCUAUUGUAAUUAUUUUACGGAAGUGUUGGUUUAUU